rnacentral:rRNA from 1 species
UGGGGAAUAUUGCACAAUGGGGGAAACCCUGAUGCAGCGACGCCGCGUGAACGAGGAAGGUAUUCGUAUCGUAAAGUUCUGUCCUAUGGGAAGAUAAUGACAGUACCAUAGAAGAAAGCUCCGGCUAAAUACGUGCCAGCAGCCGCGGUAAUACGUAUGGAGCGAGCGUUGUCCGGAAUUAUUGGGCGUAAAGGGUACGCAGGCGGUUUAAUAAGUCGAAUGUUAAAGAUCGGGGCUCAACCCCGCAAAGCAUUGGAAACUGAUAAACUUGAGUAGUGGAGAGGAAAGUGGAAUUCCUAGUGUAGUGGUGAAAUACGUAGAUAUUAGGAGGAAUACCAGUAGCGAAGGCGACUUUCUGGACACAAACUGACGCUGAGGUACGAAAGCGUGGGGAGCAAACAGG